UACGUAGGGUGCAAGCGUUGUCCGGAAUUAUUGGGCGUAAAGAGCUCGUAGGCGGUUUGUCGCGUCUGCCGUGAAAGUCCGGGGCUCAACUCCGGAUCUGCGGUGGGUACGGGCGACUAGAGUGAUGUAGGGGAGGACUGGAAUUCCUGGGUGUAGCGGUGAAAAUGCGCAGAUAUCGGGAGGAACACCAAUGGCGAAGGCAGCUUGCUGGGACGGCUACGUGAAC
rnacentral:rRNA from 1 species